rnacentral:piRNA from 1 species
UGGGAUUAAAGACAUGCACCACUAUGUC